ACAGCAGUCGCCGCGGUAAUACAGAGGGUGCGAGCGUUAAUCGGAUUUACUGGGCGUAAAGCGUGCGUAGGCGGCUUCUUAAGUCGGAUGUGAAAUCCCUGAGCUUAACUUAGGAAUUGCAUUCGAUACUGGGAAGCUAGAGUAUGGGAGAGGAUGGUAGAAUUCCAGGUGUAGCGGUGAAAUGCGUAGAGAUCUGGAGGAAUACCGAUGGCGAAGGCAGCCAUCUGGCCUAAUACUGACGCUGAGGUACGAAAGCAUGGGGAGCAAACAGGAUUAGAUACCCCAGUAGUCCCUGUCUCUUAUAU
rnacentral:rRNA from 1 species